rnacentral:rRNA from 1 species
GCUUCCAAGAAAAUCCUCUAGCCAGUUGCCAAGGCGACCGUACCGGAAACCGACACAGGUGGGCGAGGAGAAUAUCCACAGGCGCUCGGGAGAACUCUCGCGAAGGAACUAGGCAAAAUAACCCCGUAACUUAGGGAGAAGGGGUGCCGCAGUAGGGUGUCAAAAGCCCGAAGCGGUCGCAGUGAAAAGGGCCAAGCGACUGUUUACUAAAAACACAGGACUCUGCCAACUCGUAAGAGGAGGUAUAGGGUCUGACGCCUGCCCGGUGCCGGAAGGUUAAGGGGAGAGGUUAGUGCCGCAAGGUGCGAAGCUUUGAACCGAAGCCCCGGUAAACGGCGGCCGUAACUAUAGGCUGGACCGCUGUAGUUCCGAAAACAAAUCUGGCUGUUUGCUGGAAAGCCCGAUGGAUCCUCCGGUACUCGCCGUGAAGUCGACGGCAGUGACAAUCCGACGAGGUGCGGGUCAUCAGCAGGAAAGGCUUAGCCCCAUGCUCAACGCACGCGAGAUCCCGCCGAACAUCGGUCAUUACCUCGCUGGUUUUACCGACGGCGAAGGGAGCUUCAACGUGUCGUUCCGUCCUCGGGACGACUACAAGGCUCCGUGGAAGAUCUCGCUCUGCUUCAACAUCUCGCAGCGCGAUCCAGUGGUGCUGGCGUUGUUCAAGCGCCACCUGCAAUGCGGGACGAUGCGGCAGAGACACGAUGGUGUUUGGUACUACGAGGUCAACAACCUCACCACCAUCGUCGAGAACGUGAUUCCGUUCUUUGAGCGGUUCGGGUUUCUCUCAGCGAAGAAGAAGCGUGACUUCUCGAAGUUCAAGCAGCUCGCCGAGCUGAUUCGUCACGGUCGACAUCACAGCCCGCAAGGUGUGGAAGAGAUCCUGGCGAUCAGGCGAGACAUGAACGACGGAGGAAAGCGCCGAUACUGCGACGAAGAGAUCCUCGGACGGAUUAAGAAUCCUCAGAGACCAUACGCCGGACUCGCUCCACAGAGCGAGAUGAGAUGGUCCGAACUGCGUGGCGACAUGCAGAGCGCGACAGAAAUGAGCGCGCCCUCACCGCAAGGUGAGCAGCAACAGAAUGAACGGUCCUAAGGUAGCGAAAUUCCUUGUCGGGUAAGUUCCGACCUGCACGAAUGGCGUAACGACUUGGCCGCUGUCUCCGCGAGGGACCCGGUGAAACUGUAGCGCCAGUGAAGAUGCUGGCUACCCGCGACUAGACGAAAAGACCCCGUGAACCUUUACUGUACCUUGGCAUGGAACUUUGGCGGAGUCUGCGCAGGAUAGGUGGGAGGCUUUGAAGCCGGCACUCCGGUGUCGGUGGAGCCGUCGUUGAGAUACCACCCUGACUGUGCUGGAGUUCUAACCUGAGCCCGUGAUCCGGGCUGGGGACAGUGCCAGGUGGGCAGUUUGACUGGGGCGGUCGCCUCCCAAACGGUAACGGAGGCGCUCGAAGGUCGGCUCAGCACGGUUGGAAAUCGUGCGACGAGUGUAAGGGCAGAAGCCGGCUUGACUGCGAGACCUACAAGUCGAGCAGGUACGAAAGUAGGACCUAGUGAUCCGGUGGUUCUGAGUGGCAGGGCCAUCGCUCAACGGAUAAAAGGUACUCCGGGGAUAACAGGCUGAUCUUGCCCAAGAGUUCACAUCGACGGCAAGGUUUGGCACCUCGAUGUCGGCUCAUCGCAUCCUGGGGCUGGAGCAGGUCCCAAGGGUUGGGCUGUUCGCCCAUUAAAGCGGUACGUGAGCUGGGUUUAGAACGUCGUGAGACAGUUCGGUCUCUAUCUGUCGCGGGCGGAGGACGUUUGACGGGAGCUGCCCCUAGUACGAGAGGACCGGGGUGGACGGACCUCUAGUGUGCGAGCUGUUCCGCCAGGAGCACCGCUCGGUAGCUAUGUCCGGCAGGGAUAAGCGCUGAAGGCAUCUAAGCGCGAAACCCGCCUGAAGAUGAGACGUCCCGGGACGCAAGUCCCCUGAAGGGCCCUGGUAGAUGACCAGGUUGAUAGGCCGGAGGUGUAAGCACCGUAAGGUGUUCAGCUGACCGGUACUAAUCGCCCGUGCGGCUUGACC